UUUUUGCACUGUACAUUCC
rnacentral:miRNA from 1 species